UCGGGAUAACACCUGGAAACAGAUGCUAAUACCGGAUAACAACAGAUGAUGCCUAUCAACUGUUUAAAAGAAUGGUUUUCUGCUAUCACUCUUGGAUGGACCUGCGGUGCAUUAGCUAGUUGGUAGGGUAACGGCCUACCAAGGCGAUGAUGCAUAGCCGAGUUGAGAGACUGAUCGGCCACAUUGGGACUGAGACACGGCCCAAACUCCUACGGGAGGCAGCAGC
rnacentral:rRNA from 1 species